GCAUCAUGGUAAUCUAUGUGUACUCAAUGCUGCUCUGGGACAUCUGGCCCGCGCACAGACCAUAUGCCUCGGAGGGCAUAGGGUCGUGUGCAAAAGGCCUAAAUUGUAGCCUUUAAGGGGAAAUACAUUCCUGUGCCCUAUUUAUCAUGUACGUAUAGGAAUUAGAGCAACAUAAAGCUGUAACGUAAGAACUAAAAUCGGGGAAAUUUAGCAAAACUGGUGUAAAGGGAAACUGACUUAGUUACCCAUAACAACCAAUCAGGUUUUACCUUUCAUUUUUCAAAGCCUCUUUGGAAAAUGAAAGUAAAACCUGAUUGGUUGUUAUGGGUAACUAAGUCAGUUUUCCUUUACACCAGUUUGGAUAAAUCUCCCCCUAUGUGCCCUGAACUUCUAUGUUCAUCAUAGCCAGUAUACCAUGGAAAAACAGUGACCACAAUUUUGUGUUAUUUUAAAUGCCACGGCUUUCCCAACUGAAGUCAAUGCAAACAUGGCAUGGGUUAAAAAAAAUAAAAUCAAAAUAAAACCAACAGGGAACUUGCACUGUAAAGUCCUCAACAUUUUAAAGUGUCUGUCCCUCUACCUAAAGGAAACAUUACUUCAGGGUU